rnacentral:rRNA from 1 species
GACGAACGCUGGCGGCGUGCUUAACACAUGCAAGUCGAACGGAAAGGCCUGCUUUCCCUUGUGGAUUGCGGGUACUCGAGUGGCGAACGGGUGAGUAACACGUGAGUGAUCUGCCCCCAACUUGGGUAUAAGCCUGGGAAACUGGGUCUAAUUCCCGAUAGGACUGCAGGGUGGUGCCUGUGGUGGAAAACGAUUUUCUAGUGGUUGGGGAUGAGCUCGCGGCCUAUCAGCUUGUUGGUGGGGUAAUGGCCUACCAAGGCGGCGACGGGUAGCCGGCCUGAGAGGGUGGACGGCCACAUUGGGACUGAGAUACGGCCCAGACUCCUACGGGAGGCAGCAGUGGGGAAUAUUGCACAAUGGGCGGAAGCCUGAUGCAGCGACGCCGCGUGGGGGAUGACGGCCUUCGGGUUGUAAACUCCUUUCGACCGCGAGGAAGCCACCUGGUUGGAAGGGUGGUGACGGUAGUGGUAGAAGAAGCGCCGGCUAACUACGUG